rnacentral:rRNA from 1 species
GACGAACGCUGGAGGCGUGCUUAACACAUGCAAGUCGAACGAUGAUGCCCAGAUUGCUGGGUGGGUUAGUGGCGAACGGGUGAGUAACAGGUGAGUAACCUGCUCCUGAGUCUGGGAUAAGCGUUGGAAACGACGUCUAAUACGUGAUAUGAUCACUGGCCGCCUGGUCUGGGGGUGGAAAGAUUUUUUGGUUGGGGAUCGACUCGCGGCCUAUCAGCUUGUUGGUGAGAUAAUGGCUAACGAAGGCGACGACGGGUAGCCGGCCUGAGUGGGUGACCGGCUACACUGUGACUGAGACACGGCCCAUACUCCUACGGGAGGCAGCAGUGGGGAAUAUUGCACAAUGGGCAAAAGCCUGUUUCAGCAACGCCGCGUGAGGGAUGACGGUCUUCGGGUUGUAAACCUCUUUUAGUAGGGAAGAAGCGAAAGUGACGGUACCUGCAGAAAAAGCACCGGCUAACUACGUGCCAGCAGCCGCCGUAAUAC